rnacentral:rRNA from 1 species
GAUGAACGCUGGCGGCGUGCCUAAUACAUGCAGGUCGAGCGAACAGACGAGGAGCUUGCUCCUCUGACGUUAGCGGCGGACGGGUGAGUAACACGUGGAUAACCUACCUAUAAGACUGGGAUAACUUCGGGAAACCGGAGCUAAUACCGGAUAAUAUAUUGAACCGCAUGGUUCAAUAGUGAAAGACGGUUUUGCUGUCACUUAUAGAUGGAUCCGCGCCGCAUUAGCUAGUUGGUAAGGUAACGGCUUACCAAGGCAACGAUGCGUAGCCGACCUGAGAGGGUGAUCGGCCACACUGGAACUGAGACACGGUCCAGACUCCUACGGGAGGCAGCAGUAGGGAAUCUUCCGCAAUGGGCGAAAGCCUGACGGAGCAACGCCGCGUGAGUGAUGAAGGUCUUCGGAUCGUAAAACUCUGUUAUUAGGGAAGAACAAAUGUGUAAGUAACUAUGCACGUCUUGACGGUACCUAAUCAGAAAGCCACGGCCAACUACGUG